rnacentral:misc_RNA from 1 species
UGAAACUCUGUCCAGCAACCCCAUUAAUUUGAUUGCAAUAGUUUGCUAUUUGAUUCGUUAUGAGAUAGCUAUCCAAACGUGAUGGCUCAGGGAGUGGUUUAAAGAUGGGGUUUGUAGGAUCCUCCUCAGGGAGAGGCUCUUCUCCUGCUGCCUUCCUCAUCAUGUUCUCAGCCCUUCUUUUCUGAAGCCAUGCUUGUUGUUGAGCUUGCUGACGGGUCAGGCUCCGAUAAUAAAAUUGGAACUUCUGCUGCUCCACUGACAAAUCAUCCAUACAUUCAAUCAGAAAUUCCACAUUCCUCUCCAUAAAUGGAUUUGUUGAAAGUUGCAGGCGGUCAUAAUCACACUGGGUGACUGGAGAGUCAGCUUCAAGCUCCGUCAUAAAAGCACUAAUGAGGGCUGAAUUCGAAACUUUGAUAGGUAUUUCCUCAAAAAUAUCCACCCAUGAUAAGUUCUUCUCCCUCAACUUCUCUCCUG